CCUAAUGACUCCUCUCACAAUCACAUCUUUGCCUAACCUCCAUUUUCUCCCCAAACAUCUCUCUCUCUCUCUCUCUCUCUCUCUCUCUCUCUCUCAUAUGUAUGGUGCACCACAAGUGGAUGAAGCUGCCAGCAUGAUCUGAUCACAGUAGUUCUCUAGCUGAUGAUGAUUUACAAAACCUAGAGACAUGCAUCAGAUCAUCUGGCAGUUUCAUCUUCUCAUGGCAGCACAAAAAGAGCUUACUAAAACCCUAGCUAGCUAGUUAGAAGCAAGCAUGAUAUGAACCCCUUCUCUCUGCUAGAUGCUUAGAUCUACAAACUAUAAGGCCAACCUAGCAUAUGUACAUGCCCAAUCUAGCUUAAUUGCCUUCUUAUCGCCAGGAUCGAAUUAAUGGAAGAAUUAGCCAAUCAAUGGUGAUGGGGAAGAGAGGUAUAUAUAUUUUAUUUUUCGAAGGCGGGAGAAAAAGCUCUUAUUAUUGAUAAAGAAAAUGGUGCUUAACGAUUUGCAUGUCACAUGAAGUGGUGGGCCUAAUGGCGCUAUAGCGGUCUCAAAUCGAAACAUGCCUUCACACCUUUGUCCACAUCGGAUCCAUGUCAUCGGGUUGUCCAAGCAGCGACGACACUGCGACACUGGAGCAGCCGAUGUAUAACGGUUUUCACUUGUUCGGUUACGAUUUGGAAUGUCACUAAGUCUCUUCACGAUGAAAAGAAUGUAACAACAAUUUGUGACGAAUGUAACUUUGUGACCUUUUUAACUGGUCUCAUUAGGUAAUUCUAGAUGGAGCUUCUGUGACAGUGCGAUUUCAUGGCAAGGUCAUCACAAAAUAGAGUUGUGAUGAAAUUUCGUUAGAUCUCGAAGAAAACGGCUCGUCAAUAAAGGGCAUAAUCAUUGUAGUGAGUAGUGGGCCUAAUGGCAAGCUAGCGUCCAAAUCGAAACAUGCCUUCACAUUUGGUGUCAGUCUUCUAUCAACCAACUAGUCAAUGUUAUAAAGCAUGAGUAUAGAAACAUGACUUAUAUAUGUAUUAUUAUAACUACAUACAUUUUACCACUAUAAUUAUACUAUAUAUUUAUAUGAGAUAAUUUUUUUAAAGAAAUUUAUUUUGACAAAUGUAAAAUAGUAUCGUUAAUGUUUCUACCUCACAAAUACAUGAAGAGGUGUAUCCGUGUAUAAACUGUUUUGGUUUAAUGCCAAUUAAAUCUUGCAGUACCAAAUUAUUGGUAGUCUACAUAGUACUUUGUGUGAUGUCUGGAUUAAUUCCAAAACUUAUCCGAUCAAUAGAAAUCUCUACCAACAUAUUGGUAGUACCAAAACUUAUCUAAGAUUUGACACUACAAAACAAAUAGAUAGGGUAGCAAUUCAAACAUGCCUUAUACCUUUUCUAAGGCGGCUGGAAAAAAGCUAGCUAGUCAAGGUUAGGCAUGCACACAUAUAGUCAAGAUUAAUGAAACCACUUGCCCUUCUAAUUAAGACUAGUCUUGGGUGUGUCCAACCAUGAUAAGAGGCGCACAUAUAGGGGUUGCAUGCAUAUGUAAAUGCUAUAAAUACAGCUUGCAGGGCCAAUGGAGAUUCAACAAUAAAUGCAACAUAUACUAACUCAAAUCGAGGUGAUAACAGACCAGCAGUAGUGUCAAUAUAAUGGCAUCCUCGGCAACAUCUGGCCGUGUCCUUGCGAUCAUGCUACUCAUGGCCAUUAUCGCCGCUCUGAUGAUCAUCAACAGUCCCGUCGCAGAAUGUAGGGUUGCUCCGGAUCAGGUUGGGGUGGAUCCGAAUGGCCAUUGCUAUUUCGAUCCUUCUAGUUGUCGUUCGCCGGGUGCUCCCUGAGAGUGUGCCUGCCAGCAUCAUUUCCAGCCUCUCCUCUGUUGAUCGGUCCAAUCAAUGGGGAAAGCAGCAGCCAGGGUUUACAUUACCAGUUGAUCCCCAUCGGUAUCACGGUUUCGAUAAAUUUCGAUCGGUUUUUGAUAAAUUUGGACUGAAUUUUGACCAAAUCUACUGUUUAACCUUCGAAAUUCCAGCCGAAACUUAAUGUCGAGCCGUGUCGAAAUGUUGAAAUUUCGUGAAAUUCGACCGGUUUUCGUCGGAAUUGUGAACCCUGGCAGCAACAUCAUUUCCGGCUCCCCCUAUGGCGCCCGGAGGAACACGCCGACGGAGGAAAGGUUUUGAAACGAUGCUCCCGUUGGAUGCGGAAUUGAUAGUGAUCUGGCACGGAUGUCUCUCUUACAUAGAAAUCCUCUAUGUCGGAGAAUCCGGUUUCAGUGCCCUAUAUGAUAUGUGUGGGCCAAUUGCACAACUGACAUUAAGGUUUCUUGUACGUAUUUACCAUGUAACUAGAAAAAAUAUCCGUGUGUUCAAACGAAAAAAGAAAACUAAAAUUACAUGUACGUUAAUAUAUGUUUUAGUGUUCAGGUAAGUGAUCUAAACUCUUUAAGAAAAUAUUAUAUUAUUUUAUAUUGAGUCUA